AACAAGGUGUAUGAACUAAUUGAAAUGCAAGAAAUAAAUAAUAAAAUGCAUCAAUGUUCUAAAAUCGUAAUGCUAAACUAAUAAAUUAAAAGCAAUUCACCAUGAAAAUAAUGNAAAUAAAAGACACUUAAAGAGUAAAGGAACUAAAAUGCUUAAAAAAAAUAAAAAUAAAAGAAAUAGAAAAUAAUUAAAAGAAAUAGAAAAUAAUUAAAAGCAAUUCUCCUAAGCUGGACGUGAAUGAAUGCCCACACUUCUCCAAAUAAUUCCAUCACCAACCGUGCACACUUGUCAAAGAAAGAUUAAAAAUGCUUUUCUCCAAAUAA
rnacentral:lncRNA from 1 species